GACGAACGCUGGCGGCGUGCUUAACACAUGCAAGUCGAACGGAAAGGCCCUGCUUGCAGGGUACUCGAGUGGCGAACGGGUGAGUAACACGUGGGUGAUCUGCCCUGCACUUCGGGAUAAGCCUGGGAAACUGGGUCUAAUACCGGAUAGGAGCCAUUUUUAGUGUGAUGGUUGGAAAGUUUUUUCGGUGUAGGAUGAGCUCGCGGCCUAUCAGCUUGUUGGUGGGGUAAUGGCCUACCAAGGCGGCGACGGGUAGCCGGUCUGAGAGGGUGGACGGCCACAUUGGGACUGAGAUACGGCCCAGACUCCUACGGGAGGCAGCAGUGGGGAAUAUUGCACAAUGGGCGCAAGCCUGAUGCAGCGACGCCGCGUGGGGGAUGACGGCCUUCGGGUUGUAAACUCCUUUCGCUAGGGACGAAGCUUUUUGUGACGGUACCUAGAUAAGAAGCACCGGCUAACUACGUG
rnacentral:rRNA from 1 species